CACGGGGGGAGCAAGCGUUGUUCGGAAUUACUGGGCGUAAAGGGCUCGUAGGCGGCCAACUAAGUCAGACGUGAAAUCCCUCGGCUUAACCGGGGAACUGCAUCUGAUACUGGAUGGCUUGAGAUUGGGAGAGGGAUGCGGAAUUCCAGGUGUAGCGGUGAAAUGCGUAGAUAUCUGGAGGAACACCGGUGGCGAAGGCGGCAUCCUGGACCAACACUGACGCUGAGGAGCGAAAGCCAGGGGAGCAAACGGG
rnacentral:rRNA from 1 species